AUUGAACGCUGGCGGCAUGCCUUACACAUGCAAGUCGAACGGCAGCACGGGGCAACCUGGUGGCGAGUGGCGAACGGGUGAGUAAUGCAUCGGAACGUACCUUUCAGUGGGGGAUAACGUAGCGAAAGUUACGCUAAUACCGCAUAUUCUGUGAGCAGGAAAGCAGGGGAUCGCAAGACCUUGCGCUGAUUGAGCGGCCGAUGUCAGAUUAGCUAGUUGGUGAGGUAAAGGCUCACCAAGGCGACGAUCUGUAGCGGGUCUGAGAGGAUGAUCCGCCACACUGUAACUGAGACACGGUCCAGAAUCCUACGGGAGGCAGCAGUGGGGAAUUUUGGACAAUGGGGGCAACACUGAUCCAGCCAUGCCGCGUGAGUGAAGAAGGCCUUCGGGUUGUAAAGCGCUUUCGGCCGGGAAGAAAUCGCACGGGCUAAUACCCUGUGUGGAUGACGGUACCGGAAUAAGAAGCACCGGCUAACUACGUGCCAGCCGCCGCUGUAAGAC
rnacentral:rRNA from 1 species